UACAGAGGGUGCGAACGUUGCUCGGAAUUACUGGGCGUAAAGCGCGUGUAGGCGGGACGAUAAGUCGGAAGUGAAAUCCCCGGGCUCAACCCGGGAACUGCUUUCGAAACUGCCGUCCUCGAGUAUCGGAGAGGGUGGCGGAAUUCCUGGUGUAGAGGUGAAAUUCGUAGAUAUCAGGAGGAACACCGGUGGCGAAGGCGGCCACCUGGACGAUUACUGACGCUGAGACGCGAAAGCGUGGGGAGCAAACAGGAUUAGAACCGUA
rnacentral:rRNA from 1 species